AGAAGGGCAGGCAGUAGGCGUGAAGCUGCGAGCAGAGUAGAGAGCAACUUGGCAGAGCAGCAAGCAGAGUAGGCAAGUGUUGAGGUUUGGCGUGAGUAGCAGCAAAAGCCCAGAGCAUCAAGAAGCAGGAAGUGAGGAGAAGGUAAGUGAAGGGCAGGCAAGGUAAUGGGAGGCAAAGGCAAGGGGAAAGGGGGGGUAAGGGAGAAAGAAGGGAUGGGGAUGGGGAGGGGAUGGGUGAAGAGCAGAGCGGAGGGAAGGGCUGAGGGGAGGGCUGAAGGCAAACCUAUGAUGAAAAAAGAAAAGAAAAAAUAAGAACAAAAAAUAUGAAAAAAGAGAAAAAAAGAAAAGAAAAAUAAGAAAAAGAGAAAAAAUGAAAAGAAAAAAAGAAAAAAUGAACAAAAAAGAGUAAAAAGAGAAAAAAAAAAGAAAAAAGAGAAAAAAGAGAAAAAAAAAAGAAAUGAACAAAAAGAGAAAAAGAGAAAAGAAAAAAAGAAAAAAUAAGAAAAGAGAAAAGAAAAAGAAAAUAGAAAUAAAAAAGAGACAGAAAAAUAUGAAAAAAGAAAAAAGAAAAAAGAAAAGAAAAAACAGUAGAUGAAAAAAGAAAAAACAAAAGGAAAAACGAAUAAUGACAAGAGAAGAAAGGUAAAGAGAAAAGAAGAAAAAAGCCAAGUCAAAAAGUAAAGAAUAACUCGAAGGAAGGAGUGGAUGGCAAGAAAUACAGAGAAAGCAGUGCAUAGCACAGCAGAGCAAAGCAAGGCAAAAUAGCAGCCAAAGCCACGAGAAUCAAGAAGUCAGUGAAGAGCAGGAAAGGAAUGGAGGAAUCUGUCCAGAGCUGUGCCCCUGCUUGCCACAGGAGCUGCGCGGGAGGAGAAGAACGUGGGCCAAAAGGUAAGAGGAGCUCCUUUGGGUUCUGGGCUUGAAGCAAAGCUGAGAAGCCAUGCCCGGGAGGAGGUGUGGGUAGCUACAGGCCACCUUGCUAUCUCCCCAAGAGAUGAGGUGUGUGGGCUAGGCACCGGGCAGGAGUGCUGGCCAGAAGCAAGCAUCUCUGUGGAGGAAGGCAAAGGGCGGAGGAGGUUCAAGGGUAGCUACCGGGCAUGGCCUUGCUCAGCAAGGGGAGGAAAAGCCUGAAGGGCACGAGAAGGGGAUAGAGAAGGGCAGGCAGUAGGCGUGAAGCUGCGAGCAGAGUAGAGAGCAACUUGGCAGAGCAGCAAGCAGAGUAGGCAAGUGUUGAGGUUUGGCGUGAGUAGCAGCAAAAGCCCAGAGCAUCAAGAAGCAGGAAGUGAGGAGAAGGUAAGUGAAGGGCAGGCAAGGUAAUGGGAGGCAAAGGCAAGGGGAAAGGGGGGGUAAGGGAGAAAGAAGGGAUGGGGAUGGGGAGGGGAUGGGUGAAGAGCAGAGCGGAGGGAAGGGCUGAGGGGAGGGCUGAAGGCAAACCUAUGAUGAAAAAAGAAAAGAAAAAAUAAGAACAAAAAAUAUGAAAAAAGAGAAAAAAAGAAAAGAAAAAUAAGAAAAAGAGAAAAAAUGAAAAGAAAAAAGAAAAAAGAACAAAAGAAGUAAAAAGAGAAAAAAAAGAAAAAAGAAAAAAGAGAAAAGAAAAAAAGAACAUGAACAAAAAAGAGAAAAAAGAGAAAAGAUAAAAAAAGAAAAAAAAAAAAGAAAAAGAUAAAGAAAAGAGAAAAGAAAAAAGAAAAUAGAAAUAAAAAAGAGACAGAAAAAUAUGAAAAAAAGAAAAAGAAAAAAAGAAAGAAAAAACAGUAGAUGAAAAAAGAAAAAACAAAAGGAAAAACGAAUAAUGACAAGAGAAGAAAGGUAAAGAGAAAAGAAGAAAAAAGCCAAGUCAAAAAGUAAAGAAUAACUCGAAGGAAGGAGUGGAUGGCAAGAAAUACAGAGAAAGCAGUGCAUAGCACAGCAGAGCAAAGCAAGGCAAAAUAGCAGCCAAAGCCACGAGAAUCAAGAAGUCAGUGAAGAGCAGGAAAGGUAAGUUUCCCUUAAAGCAAGGGGGAAUGGUAGUGGAAGGGAGAAAAGAGAGGGGAGGGGAGGGGAAGUGAAGGAGUGGGGGGAGAGGGGGAGGAGCAGUGGGGAAAGCGGUGGGGCUAGAGGGG
rnacentral:lncRNA from 7 species